ACGCUGGCGGCGUGCUUAACACAUGCAAGUCGAGCGGUAAGGCCUUUCGGGGUACACGAGCGGCGAACGGGUGAGUAACACGUGGGUGAUCUGCCCUGCACUUCGGGAUAAGCCUGGGAAACUGGGUCUAAUACCGGAUAUGACCUCCUAUCGCAUGGUGGGUGGUGGAAAGAUUUAUCGGUGCAGGAUGGGCCCGCGGCCUAUCAGCUUGUUGGUGGGGUAAUGGCCUACCAAGGCGACGACGGGUAGCCGACCUGAGAGGGUGACCGGCCACACUGGGACUGAGACACGGCCCAGACUCCUACGGGAGGCAGCAGUGGGGAAUAUUGCACAAUGGGCGAGAGCCUGAUGCAGCGACGCCGCGUGAGGGAUGACGGCCUUCGGGUUGUAAACCUCUUUCAGCAGGGACGAAGCGCAAGUGACGGUACCUGCAGAAGAAGCACCGGCUAACUACGUGCCAGCAGCCGCGGUAAUACGUAGGGUGCAAGCGUUGUCCGGAAUUACUGGGCGUAAAGAGUUCGUAGGCGGUUUGUCGCGUCGUUUGUGAAAACCAGCAGCUCAACUGCUGGCUUGCAGGCGAUACGGGCAGACUUGAGUACUGCAGGGGAGACUGGAAUUCCUGGUGUAGCGGUGAAAUGCGCAGAUAUCAGGAGGAACACCGGUGGCGAAGGCGGGUCUCUGGGCAGUAACUGACGCUGAGGAACGAAAGCGUGGGUAGCGAAC
rnacentral:rRNA from 1 species